rnacentral:rRNA from 1 species
AUGUUAAAAUUUACCAUGUGCUCUAACACAGUGGGAACUGUAAGGUUUUUAUUCUAUUUGCAUAUGCUGGUCAUUUUGGAACAUAUAUUCUAUAACUUUAAUCAGGUAUACUUUUCCUUGUUAAAUAUGAUGGUUAAGAUGAUAAUUAUUUUCUCACUUAUGUUGUUGUUGGAUGCUCUGAUUGUGAGCCUUUGUCUGUUUUACUCUCUACAUCAUCGCAUGACAUCUAAUCAACAUAAAAUUGUGUGCGUGAUAUAUGUUCCAUCACAUCUUAAAAUGAGUGUAAACUGCAGUGUAUGCGGGAUAUGUUGA